GAACUUGAAGAAUAUGCUACGAGUCUCUUUUAAAUGUGUGUGUUGAGAGUUGUGGUAUUACUAUAGCUAAUGUGCAUUUUAGAAAGACAGGUGGCCCCUUGGUGGGCCUUCCAGUGAAGAGCUUUCUAUUGAGUUUAGUAGUCACAAUGCAUUGGAUUAGGAAAUUAGAGCAAUUUUUAGCCUCUUUUCCUUCUCUCCGUCCUCUCCUCAUUUGACCCUAGAGUGUGGUGAAGUAACCCUCAAUGGCUAGCAUUUCCAGAAUGAUCAUUUGUGAUAAUGCAAAACUGAGAAAAAGAUGUGUCACUAAUGUCUGGCCAAGCUCAGCAGGCUCUCUUUAAAAGGGCAGCAUCAAUCCUGGGAGCCUCUAAUGCCACAGAAUAUUCUACUAAUGGUUCUUCAGUCUCCUCCUAUAUACUUUACUCCUCCGAAGAUCACCAGGUCCAAUAACAAAGCAUCGUGAGGAUGAGGU
rnacentral:lncRNA from 1 species